UACGUAGGGUGCGAGCGUUAAUCGGAAUUACUGGGCGUAAAGCGUGCGCAGGCGGUGAUGUAAGACAGGUGUGAAAUCCCCGGGCUCAACCUGGGAACUGCAUUUGUGACUGCACAGCUGGAGUGCGGCAGAGGGGGAUGGAAUUCCGCGUGUAGCAGUGAAAUGCGUAGAUAUGCGGAGGAACACCGAUGGCGAAGGCAAUCCCCUGGGCCUGCACUGACGCUCAUGCACGAAAGCGUGGGGAGCAAACAGG
rnacentral:rRNA from 1 species